GUAGGUGAACCUGCGGAAGGAUCAUUACCGAGUUAGGGUCCUGUGGGCCCCGACCUCCUAACCCUUUGUCUACCUUACCUCUUGUUGCUUCGGCGGAUCCGUUCCUUAGGGAACCGCCGGAGAGCCUUUAAAAGCUCUCUAGCCCGCGUCCGUCGAUGGCCUAUCAUUAAACUCUUGCUUAAAACGUGUCGUCUGAGUCUUAACAAAAAUCAAAUAAAAAACUUUCAACAACGGAUCUCUUGGUUCUGGC
rnacentral:misc_RNA from 1 species